CCUACGGGAGGCUGCAGUGGGGAAUAUUGGAUAAUGGGGGGAACCCUGAUCCAGCCAUGCCGCGUGUGUGAAGAAGGCCCUCGGGUUGUAAAGCACUUUCAGUGAGGAAGAACGCCUGGUGGUUAAUACCCAUCAGGAAAGACAUCACUCACAGAAGAAGCACCGGCUAACUCCGUGCCAGCAGCCGCGGUAAUACGGAGGGUGCGAGCGUUAAUCGGAAUUACUGGGCGUAAAGCGCGCGUAGGUGGCUUGAUAAGCCGGUUGUGAAAGCCCCGGGCUCAACCUGGGAACGGCAUCCGGAACUGUCAAGCUAGAGUGCAGGAGAGGAAGGUAGAAUUCCCGGUGUAGCGGUGAAAUGCGUAGAGAUCGGGAGGAAUACCAGUGGCGAAGGCGGCCUUCUGGACUGACACUGACACUGAGGUGCGAAAGCGUGGGUAGCAAACAGGAUUAGAUACCCCAGUAGUC
rnacentral:rRNA from 1 species